GAGGGACCUCCCUCCUCCUAGGCUCAUGCUCAGGAGAACCUGAUGUGCUGAACAACCGGGUCCUCUUCUGACCCCGCCAUGGGCACCAGGCUCCUCUGCUGCGUGGCCCUCUGUCUCCUGGGGGCAGGCCCCGUGGAUGCUGUAAUCACCCAGACGCCAAGACACCAUAUUAUACAAGCAGGAACCAAGAUGGUCCUGGAAUGUUCUCAGGAUAUGAACCAUUUUGCAAUGUACUGGUAUCGACAAGACCCAGGACAGGGCCUGAGGCUGAUCCAUUAUUCAAGUGGUACUGGCAGCACUGCCAAAGGGGAUGUCACAGAAGGGUACCGUGUCUCCCGAGACAAGAAGGAGCAUUUCCCCCUGACCCUGGAUUCCUCCAGCACCAACCAGACGUCUCUAUACUUCUGUGCCAGCAGGGAAUCCACAGCCCCACAUAGCCACCAGCUCUCUGCACAAAAAGUUCAGCCACGGGCAUGA